CAGUCGCCGCGGUAAUACAGAGGGUGCGAGCGUUAAUCGGAUUUACUGGGCGUAAAGCGUGCGUAGGCGGCUUCUUAAGUCGGAUGUGAAAUCCCUGAGCUUAACUUAGGAAUUGCAUUCGAUACUGGGAAGCUAGAGUAUGGGAGAGGAUGGUAGAAUUCCAGGUGUAGCGGUGAAAUGCGUAGAGAUCUGGAGGAAUACCGAUGGCGAAGGCAGCCAUCUGGCCUAAUUCUGACGCUGAGGUACGAAAGCAUGGGGAGCAAACAGGAUUAGAUACCCCAGUAGUCCCUGUCUCUUAUAC
rnacentral:rRNA from 1 species